CAAGUGGCUAUUUCUUUUGGGUAACGGACAUGAGAUGAAGAAAGAAGAAUCUGUCCAAUGCUGAGCAAAAGCACUUUACUGGUACCACACAAGAAGAAGAGAGUGCAAUGACACUACACACAUAUCAAGCAUCUACCGUGUGCUAGGCAUUGUGCUAGGCUCCGGGAAUAACUCAGAGAACAACACAGACAAGACUUGGAGCUUACACACUAUUAAGGAAGAUGGAAGAAAAUUAACCUGGAAAUAAAAUAACUGCAAAGUGUGACAAGCCAUACAUAAUGUGAGAUUAUAUUCAGAAUAUAGCUACGUGAUGACAUCAGAGCAAGUGGAAUAGUUUGAUGAAUGUUUUUGUGCCUGCAGUAGGUAGCCUCUAAGAUGACCUUCAAGGAUCCCUUCGAUGUGGGGGAGACAAUUGCUAUGCUGUGAGCUGCACUGUGGAGAGGCCUCUGGUCAACAGCCAGUGAGGAACUGAGGUCCUCAGUCCAACACCUCACGAGGAACUGAAUCCUACCAACAACCACACGAGUGAGCUGGGAAGCAGAUGUUUCCAGCAAUCUCAUGAGAAACCUGAAGCAAGAGGCAUAAAUGUUCAACGCACAAAUUUAGAGAGAACAGAGAAGCAAACAAGAAGAGAGUGAAAGUCGACUUUGGACGGCUCCUCAGAGGACUGCUGUCGAGACCGAAUGCCCUAUUGAUUUCAGUUGACAGCGUUUGCCUAUCCUUUUUCUUUUUUUAAACAUCACGAACAAGAUUUUUUAUGUCACCAUUAAAAGUCUGAAUUUUAAGCAAAUUCUUGGAUAGUUGGCUCAUAUCCAGAAACACCUGUCUCAUCUUCAGUGGCUUUUCCAGAACCAUUACCUUCGCCAUGAAACUCCAUGAGUUUUCCCAAUUCAAACUUAGGCUUCUGCAGCAUUUUACUUUUCCAACAAGUACAUCAUGGCGCGGGAUAAAUAGAUUGGUAAGCCUUUUCUAUGUCUUUACCAAUGCUUUCUGAAUGAAUUUAUUGAUCACGUCUUUCAAGCCGUUCACAUCUCUGGGGUCAUGAUUUCCACCAUCUUCUUCCGGAUUUGAUGGACUUGUUUGUACUGAGUGUAAGAGGGUCUUCUGAAUCUGGUUAUUGAGUUUUUUCAGUAACACUAAUACAGAAUAGAUGAAGCAAAUGAUCAUCGUUAGUCUUGACGUCAACAUGAGCUUCAAUCAUGGUUUCCCGUGUUUUGACCCUGGAGCACAUUAUGUCAAAAGGUAAGAUCCAGCCAUAGAGGUUAGUCAGGUAGUUUUUGCCCUGAACACCCUCUGUAAUC
rnacentral:lncRNA from 1 species